AGAGUUUGAUCAUGGCUCAGGAUGAACGCUAGCGGCAGGCCUAACACAUGCAAGUCGAGGGGUAAGGCUCUCUUCGGGGGGCACACGACCGGCGAACGGGUGCGUAACGCGUAUGCAACCUGCCUGUACCUGGAACAUAGCCCCGAGAAAUCGGGAUUAAUUUUCCAUAACACCCUUUGGUGGCAUCACCUUGGGGUUAAAGCUCCGGCGGGUACGGAUGGGCAUGCGUGACAUUAGCUUGUUGGUGCGGUAACGGCGCACCAAGGCCAAGAUGUCUAGGGGGUCUGAGAGGAUGAUCCCCCACACUGGUACUGAGACACGGACCAGACUCCUACGGGAGGCAGCAGUGAGGAAUAUUGCGCAAUGGAGGAAACUCUGACGCAGCCAUGCCGCGUGAAGGACGACGGCCCUAUGGGUUGUAAACUUCUUUUCUGCUUCAAGAAACGGCCGUACGCGUACGGCCCUGA
rnacentral:rRNA from 1 species